rnacentral:lncRNA from 1 species
UUCAACUCAAGAUUACAUCAUCAAGCAAGCUUCAAAUGAAAUUUUGUCCAACAUGAAAGUUGUAUAUCUUUCUCUCCCAUUUCCAAAAAGUCCAAGAUCAUGAAUUUCUCAUGUAUGGUUGGAGAGAUAUGAUCAAAACAUGGCAAGGUGUACUUGAAGAUUCAAAUGUGCAUAACUUCUCAACCAAAGCUCCAAAUUGGAUGGCUCUUUUUU